rnacentral:rRNA from 1 species
GACGAACGCUGGCGGCGUGCUUAACACAUGCAAGUCGAACGGUGAAGGGGCCUGCUUUUGUGGGCCCUGGAUGAGUGGCGAACGGGUGAGUAACACGUGAGUAACCUGCCCCCUUCUUCUGGAUAACCGCAUGAAAGUGUGGCUAAUACGGGAUAUUCUGGGUCUGUCGCAUGAUGGGUCUGGGAAAGAUUGCGCCUUUGGGUGUUUUUGGUGGGGGAUGGGCUCGCGGCCUAUCAGCUUGUUGGUGGGGUGAUGGCCUACCAAGGCGGUGACGGGUAGCCGGCCUGGGAGGGUGGACGGGCACACUGGGACUGAGACACGGCCCAGACUCCUACGGGAGGCAGCAGUGGGGAAUAUUGCACAAUGGGCGCAAGCCUGAUGCAGCGACGCCGCGUGAGGGAUGGAGGCCUUCGGGUUGUAAACCUCUGUCGCCAGUGAAGCAGGCCUGCUCCUUGUGGGUGGGUUGACGGUAGCUGGAUAAGAAGCGCCGGCUAACUACG